GUUAAAAGCUAGGGCUAGUACUUGGAGGAUGUGUAGGCAAACGGAAGGAGAGCCAGGGGAAGAAAAACCGAAAUGGAUUCAUUCUCUGUCCUGGAUGGAGGAGGAGAGGAGAAGAGAAGGGGACGUGCGAGCUUCCUUCAACUGCCUCUGUCCGGUGAAAAGUGCUCAGACCCCCGGGGCUGCGCCGGGCUCCGGAGUCCGCGCGGACUUUCGCGUUGAGCUGCCAAUCAAACCGCUCUCAGCCACCACCCUGCUCUGGCACCGACAU
rfam:Acanthisitta chloris contig101866, whole genome shotgun sequence.